CGGCGCCUGUAGUCUGUAACAGUAAAUAAGUUUUACUUGAGAAGGCCCUAUCGAUUUCUCAUGUUUUAGCAGGGCCAUGAGAAGAGAUUCAUCAUGCAAGACAGCAAGAAGACCUUUUAGUUCUUCUGAGUUGACUCAGUCAAUAACUCACUUUCAAGGCCUGAUUCGCCACGCAAUUCAGGUUCACCAGGCAGAGGCCGGCGGUCAAGAUCGUUGUCAAGGCCCCGUCGAAGUCGCUCCAGGAGUAUCAAUGGUUCUGGUGUGGCAUCGAAUCCUGGAAAUAACUUAUAGAUAACCGGAUUAUCAACUAGGAUCACAAGCAGUGAUCUUGAGAAGUAUUUUAACAGUGAAGGGAAGGUUUUGGAGUGUCAUCUGGUAACAGAUCCUGACACCAGAGAAUUUCGUGGAUUUGCUUUUGUUACCGUGGAAACCACUGAGGAUGCUGACCGUUGCAUCAAGUAUUUGAAUUGUUCAGUGCUUGAAGGACGACUGAUCACCAUGGAAAAGGUACUGCUCCCAUCAAUGGAUUUUGAAGAGAAAUAUGUAGGGGGGGGGGGGGGGGAUUGUUUACAUAUCGUUUUUUAUCUGAAGUUUUUUCUUCAGAAAAAUGUUCCUUGAUGAGUUUUGCCAGCAGGUCUGGUAUGUGCAACUCCAUCGAAUUCACAAUCUAAGGUCUUAGCAGUUGAAUCUAUUCCUUCACGAACUACGACAUGAGUUCUUCUGCAUCGACAUUUCAAUCUCAUCGAUUCAAAUUCAACUAUUUUGCAGAGGGUUAUAUGCCCUAUACUCCUAUGCCCUAUACCCUUCUGCCCAUGGUUCUUGAAACUUGAUUUGGAUUUCUCAUGGAAGCAAAUUGUUAUGACAAUCACCCAUCCCUGCUGUUUCUUUCCUGGUUGUUUGUAUCUCCAUGUACUCAUAUUGUAACUUGUUUUUUCGCAAGUGAUGCUUUUACAGCGAGGAACAUGCUGAAAUAUUGGAAAAAAACUGCUGUAGGAUAUGAACCAUUUAUGUGAAAUCUCAAUUGAAUUCUGAUAAAAACUGUUGGACGUGGAGAAUACAGAUGGCAGACCCAAACAAAUGCCUUUCACGCUGUAUAAACUGGCGGAAUUUCGGAGGGGGAAUGAAUGACCCACCAUGGAAGAAGCAUUCAUUUAUGAAAAUGAACCUUGUAUCAAUCUUGGCUCAUAUCCAAUUGAAUGCAGCCUGGCUGUAAGGAAACCUGCCCAUCAAUGGAGGAGCCACUGAUUGGUACUAUUGGAAUUCGCAGGACAAGAAUCAGUAGGGUAACUGUACAUCCCCAGGGAAGGAAGCAAAUGCUUUUUAUGCUCUCAGCUCUGCUUGACGUGCAUAUGUUCUUUGGGUUAGGUCUUAGGUGUAGCAUGCGCAUGCUUCGUUAAUUCUUCCAUGAGUUUUUAGCCAAAAGCCCAUUGCCUGUACUUUUCUUCUUUUUUUUUUUCUAUUUAUUUUCUAGAGUAUGUUAUUAAUGAUAAGAUAUGUAGACUUUUAUUUAUUUACUUUACUGUAAGAGUUGGAGUAUAGGAGGUUAGGCAUUAUAA